CCUACCGAAUUUCCGACCGUUCAAAUUUUAUAUUUUCUUUACGUCUUGUCAAAUUAUAAAAAUGACGUCAUUUUUAUUGAACGAUAUGUUAAAAUCGUUCAGUUAAAAUAAUGUGAGUGUAAGUGUAAACGUUUAUCUUUUGAUUUGACAAAAAAUAAAUUGACACUUUAUAAUCAUCAGUAGCGGCUCGUGAGUAAAUAUUCUGGGGAGACUUAAAUUAUAUAAUAAAAAUUCCAUACAACGAACAAGAAAAACCUUUUUAUUGAAAAAAUUAAUUAUAUUCAUACUUCAUUUAAUAUUUAAUUAAUAUUUUUAACUAAAUUUAAUACUAAAAUUUGUUUAUAAAAUUAAUUCAAUUCUGCGAUCUUUUUUAUCUGCCAACUCGUCAAUAACACUAUUUACAAAAACUGGAUCCUUUGCCAUAUCACGCAGUAGAUUUUUUUCAAUCGCCAAGGAUGAUAAACUUGAAAGCCGCUCAUUGGUCAUUGUGUUUCUAAGAAAAGUCUUAAUACGUUUCAAUGUACUCAUAGACCGUUCACUAGAAGCCGUUGUAGUUGGAAUAGUUAACACUAACUGACAAAGUAUGUUAAGGCAUUGAAACCACUGGUUAGUAAAAAUUCUAUUAAUUUGUCUUUUUGCAUUUUGAAAAUAUAAACGAAUUAAUUCCUUGUAAAAUUGUCAAAAAUAAUAAAUAUUAGAUAGGUGACCGAUAAACGUACAAUAGUUAUUAAAUAAUGAAUAAACAGCGACUAAAACGUCUGAAACUAAUUAACAACGGCGCAGCGGCACGGCAAUAACUGUUGUGAACCCAGGUUCAAUAGCGUCUAUAAUACGUGGCUUAUUCUCCCCGGCCCACUCCGUCCAACCAGCCGUGCCGUUACAUGUUACGAUGGAAACUGUCGGUCGGGCUUCGGUUUCACUGAACCGGCCACCGUCGUGGAAAUUAUUAAAAUGGUAUUUCCAUCGAAAUAACUAUUAAUAGGUUUUAUUUUAUUUAUAAUUUAUAAUAAUGAACAAUGAAAACGAUUUAUAUAUAUUUUCAAUUUAAACAAAAUUAUCUCUGUGUGUUAUUUUUAAUUAAUUAUUAUUUACAAGUAGCUGGUUUUUUUUCAAAGGGAGACGCAGUCUCAGAGUCUCCCCUGACGAACCGCCCCUGAUAAUCAUCAUAUCUGCAUGGUAUUGUGCAGUGUCAUCUCUAAAUUAUG